GUCGAGGUCGCCUAAUCAGGUAGGGCACUAGCCUGCUAAGCUAGCGGAGCUUGCUCCUUCCGGGUUCAAAUCCCGGCCUCGACG
rnacentral:tRNA from 1 species